UUUUCUUUUUUUUUUUUUUUUUUUUUUGUUUGUGUUUAAAAAUUGCCAUCAUUACCAAGAGCCAGUCCCUAACUCUUUGAGUGGUCACACAGUCACACUAAUAUAUCAUGUUACAGUUUUGUUUUUUUGUUGUUUUUUUCUACUUUCGUUUUGGGUUUAGAUUUUUUUAUUUUUGAAUUGAAUGUUGCAAAUACACUUAUGUCAGACCCAUCUCCAGUUCAGUGUGACAAAGUUAAGUAUAUUUCUUAAGUGUGUGUGUUUUUUUUAAUGUUUUUUUUCUAUAUAGAUUUUAAUUUUAAUCCUAUUUGCCUCAGAUAUUUAGUUCAAUAAGAACAUCUUAUAUAUAUAUAUAUUGUCACAUAAUAAGUCACACUAAAAGUUAGCAUUGAGAUGGAGAUGUGUGCUUUGAUGGCUGCCAUUGAUAAAAGUUCAGUUGAAGAUGUAACGUGCUUCAAUAUGUGUGAAUACCUAGAAUUAAAUAUCCAGUUAUGCACAUCAUAUUUAGCCUACUGAACCCUGUGUAUAAGAUUACUACAAGAAAAUUGACUUGUUGUUCAUUCAUAUAGUAAGAUUGUUCGGUGUACAUUUUAUUUCAAAUUUAUAUUCUUUUUUAUCAAGGUUUAUAUCCUGCAUGAAUGCCUUUUUAAAAAAAAAAAAAACCUUAGCAGACAUUCCUUAGCUUUCUUUGCAUUGCAUUUAUUAAUGUGAUUGAUGACAAUAGCUGUGCUUACAAGUUUGACAUCCCACAAGAGUUACAAGGACAUUAAGGUGGGUAUUAUCACCACCUCUUGGUUCCCUUUAGCUCUUUGAUUUACAAACCAAGUGUAAAAUAUAGUUUUAAAAGGAGAGUGUGUUUAAGAGCCAGUUGGUUGGUUUGGUACCAGCAAUGCAACCAAGGUGGAUGUUUAGGUUUUCUUGUUUGUUUGAGAUGUUAUUGUAGUUUAAUGUGACUCACUGAAAUCCUAUGGUCAAAUCUUAGUGAUGGUCUCAUUGGUCAGUUUUGCUGUGAAUGUAAACUAUGAUCAAUAAACUUCAUGUUGAUGACUUAUGUCAGCUUGCUUUUCAAGUCUGUCACUAGAAAGAGUACUGCCCCCUUAGAGUAAUACAAUCUAUGACAUACUAAGAGAUUGUUCCCCCUGAUAAAGUGAAAAGCCAUUUGUAAUGUUAGGACCAGAGUAUGUUAGUUAUUAAGCUGGGUUUUUUUUAUUUUUUUGUGGGGUGUGUGGGUGAGUGACAAAAACAGUUUUUCUAUCUAUCAGGUGGAAUUAAGUUGGAGUCCUGACUCAAGCUAAGUUGUAUUUGCUCAACCACAUGCUGGAGCAGCACAGAAGCCUUCUCCCAGCCUCAGUAUGAGACCAAUCUCUGUGUCACAGAGAGACUAGACCAUAGUGCACUGAAUACGCUCUAGCAUGAAAAGUAUGCUUACAAAAGCAUUUUAAGAAACAAAACAAUAAAAGUAAAACGAGUUUUUAAACUUACAAAUUUUA